ACGCGCAGCGCAGAACAGGUUUGGCGCUCCCUCUUUUUUUUCUCUCUCUCUCUCGCUGCUGACGUUUACACCGCCCCAGAUGAUGAUCGCUUUGGGAGAACAACAACAACAACAAAAAGAAAAAAAGAGGGAAAGAAACGAGCCUCGCGCCGACAUCAUCGCCCAACCAACCCACCCACCUGGCUUGCUGUCGUUGCAAAGGCCGCCUGGAAAAACAGGUCGUGGCAGGGGCGAGGGCCGCAUUCUUGACUUCUGCUGCAGGGGACGGCGAAGGAGUGGGGCAGGUAUAUAAGGCGGGGCAGGUAGAGGUGCCUGAGCGCAGAUCGGGACGGAGACGCUGCUGCUGCUGCUGCCUGCCUACCUGCCUCCACCGGGAGACAGCGGCGAGCGAGAAGACAGCGCUGGCCACACACGCACACAAACUUUUGCUUUCCUGGUACCUCGUGGCUCCAGCUCCGCUUUAGUGUCCCAUGAGGAUAAUGGCAUUUAAGGUGCUCAGUUUGCAUCCAAGCUGGGACCACCGCACGCCCCUCUUGCCUCUCCAGCCCUUCCUAGUUACGCAGGAAUUGGGCGCAGAUAUUUUUUUUUUGUCCUCCCCCUUUCCAAGGAUCUGCUUGGACACCUCGUCGCUGGAGACGCAGCAGGCGGGUGGGGACGCACCAAACGACUCCCCCCGUUUCCUCUCCAAACGAUAUCUAAGCCUGCUGGGUGCAGUGGUUCUUAACAGUUCAACAGUUCUGUAGCAUAAUUGUGAAAUGUUUAGGACCACUUGAUCCGGACGGCCUGAGCAUCGCGAGCUGGAAAAGGAGGAGGAGGAGGAGAAAGAACUUGCUCUGUGGACUCCAGGCUGCAGUCACUGGAGGAAGAGUUUCAUUUCGAGGGAGGGGGAGACGCCGACUUGGGAAAGGAUCCACCAUCCGACAGCCGCCGGCAAAGGCAUCCCACUCACUGAACGUGGCGAAGCUGCCCUGGAGAUAGAUGAGAAGUUCAGGACGGGGUUUGGUUUUCUUUUAACCCAGCCCUCAAAAUUUGUAAUCAAUGGAGUAAGCGAACGUGCAAAGAAAUUGGGCUUUCCUUUCAGAUUUAAUAGGAAGUGAAGCAAGCGGCCCUCAACAUCCAGGGAUAAAAAUCAGCUUUAACAGUGUUUUUAAAAAUAAGUUUCUAGUCCUCGUGAAUGUCAGUUAUAUAAUAUGGAAUAGGACAGGUGUAAGACAUGAGAAUAAUUCUGCUGAUUGUAAGUUAACCAUUGUGACAAGUUGUUGUCAAAUGGGUGAGAGAUAGAAAGAGGGUGAGACUGGGGGGAGGGAGAGAAGGGGAGAGAAGAGAAGAGGACAAAAAUUCCUGUUGGAACAAUUUGGGCUGGUGCAGAGUCGGUGAGCAAGCCAUCAAGUCCCACAGGUAAUUCCGGUCUAUAUCGAAAGGAAGGUGUGUUCACCUGGGCGUAUAGGACCAGUUCCCACAUGCACCUUUGUGUGUGCCAACAGAUUGGUUCAAUGGCUGCCAAAAUGAAAGCAGAUAAAUGAACUGUGGUUGCAGAAUGAUGACACUAGCUCCUCCCCUCCCAGUUGCCUCCAAGGCAAAAGUCACUAAGGCCUCCUUGGAAGGAAGGAAUUUGAGGGCUACAGCUUCAAAUGCUACUUACCCUAGAAUAGUUUCUUGUACGUCAGCCAGUUUCAGUGGAAAUGCUUCAGAGUAAGUGUGUGUCAAACUCUCCCAGAGCAGUGGCGAAGCACUUGCCUGAGAACAUUCCACAGGACUGGAAUCCUGCAUUCUCGGAACUGCUAAAUUUACUUAAGCUGCCCUCCGAUGAUGACAUGAUGGUUUGCUCCAGAUUGACACCAAAGCCGGUGUAGGGUUAGUGUACUGGAGAUCACAGCUGCUUAAUCAUUAAUAGCUGAGCCCUAACCAUGUUGACACAGGAGUAAGCCCCAUUGAUUUCUGCGUAAUUUCAGCAUCCUUUGAAUCGCAACCUUAGGUGAAUUGUCUGGCCUGUCCAAAAAAACAACAACUGUGGGGAAACCUUUUAAAAAUGUGUUUGUGUUGUGACACUAAACUCCAGUAAUGAUUGGGACAGAAUAUUUAGGGUGUAUGUUAGAACCAAAUAAAUGCUUUGCUGCUGAUUUCUCAUGCUUAAACCUGUAUAUUUUAUUCUGGUCUGUUUAUUUUCUAUCACAAUUGCAUAGUUUAAACAAUAAGAAUUCUUUGAACAAAUGCAUGAACAUUGUAUGAAAGGUGCCAUGUCUUCUCCCCUGUUUUAGUCCUGUAUUUAAAAUACAGAUAUGUAAUGCUCUUGGCUGUAGAGAAUUCACUCAUGUCCCAUUUUAAAAGUGAGCAAUGAGAGAAUCCAAACAGAUUUAUUACACUACAAGCUGCUGAUCAAGUGGAAGUAUUAUCCUGCAUUGCAGGUACGUAUAGACAUGGUUGGGUGUUGUGUUGGGGGUGCCUUGUGAACAGCGAUGUCAGAAGCAAAUGCAAUGCAGAAAAAAUUCAGACGAUGGUAACUGUCUUAACUGACCAUUCACAAAAGACCCAGUAAUUAGUAACAUAGGCGGCCAUUGGUAAGCCAAUGAACACAUACCGUGUGAUAAAAAUCCAUUAAAAAUCUUUAAGAUGCCACAAGAGUCUUUGUUGCUCUUAUUUAUUAUAGUGCAAUGCCCUACCAAGUUGGAAGAGAAUAUUCCUUCCCUCCCCUCUGUUCUUCCAGCUUUUUGAGCAGGUGGAAAGGUGUGUCGGCAGACGGGGUGGGACACAUUCUGCUCACCCCUUGGCAGAAGGCUAAACAUGGACAGGCUGGCCAAAUAGCUUUGCACAGAACUCUGCAGUAAGUUUCCAGUUGAUAAAUGGUUGUCUGAAGUCAUGCGCCUUAAAUCAAGGCUUGCACAACUUGUGGCAAAGCCGAGCCAAACACAAUCCACUAAACUAACUCCCCUCCCCUUUGCUGCUUAUAUUGCCUGCCUGGAGCUAAGUAGGGGCUGCCAAUCACCUGUCAGGUCACAAUAUAUAUUGCAUUUGCUAUGGUGACUCGCAACCUGUGCAGUGCCUACUUGAAACUCAUGACAAGAGUUUUCUAAACUUGCAGAACAAUCCAGUGCCUGCCAGAGCUUAAAUGUGCAGCACAAUCCUAUGGCUAUGUACUCAGAAGUAAAUCUUAUGUCUUCAGUGGGGUUUCUUCCUAGAUAAGAAUGUAAAGGUUUUCAGCCUUGGAGUGGUUUCAACAACCAUCCUGUCUCCCUAGGGAAACAGGAAUUCUUUUUUGGGGGGAGUGAAUGAUUUCUAACUGGAGAGUCUCAGCACCCUCACCAAAUUACAAUUCCCAGAGUUCUUUGGGGGGAUAGCUUUGUGUAAAUAACGUGCUUUUGCCUUAGGAAGUCAGCACAGGUGUUGUAAGAAACAAGUUUUUGUUUUUUUACCUGCUGGCUGAAAUCUCCCCGAUAGGGCUGCAAUUCUGCAUAAUUUCCCUGGGAAUUUCCAUUGGAAACAAUGGGACUUAAUUCUCAGUAAAAAUGCAAAAGCUUGCACUAUAGAGCAUCUUCCAGAUAAUUAUGUACAAGGCUACCCCUUGCAAUUCAAUGCACUCUGAUGGUAAAAUCAAGGGGAAGGCAGGGCUAAUGGAACUCUGUGCAGGAGCAAAGCAGUACAGGACUACAGCUGAGACCCUAUACUCCCUUAA